AGUGAACGCUGGCGGCGUGCCUAAUACAUGCAAGUCGAACGGAGUGGCGCACGGGUGAGUAAUAUAUAGCUAAUCUGCCCCUUGCUGGAGGACAACAGUUAGAAAUGACUGCUAAUACUCCAUAGCAAGGGAUGAGACUAUAUCGUAUCAGCUAGUCGGUGGGGUAACGGCCUACCGAGGCUAUGACGCGUAACUGGUCUGAGAGGAUGAUCAGUCACAUUGGAACUGAGACACGGUCCAAACUCCUACGGGAGGCAGCAGUAGGGAAUAUUGCGCAAUGGGGGAAACCCUGACGCAGCAACGCCGCGUGGAGGAUGACACUUUUCGGAGCGUAAACUCCUUUUGUUAGGGAAGCGGUACCUAACGAAUAAGCACCGGCUAACUCCGUGCCAGCAGCCGCGGUAAUAC
rnacentral:rRNA from 1 species